rnacentral:rRNA from 1 species
UCCAGACUCCUACGGGAGGCAGCAGUGGGGGAUAUUGCACAAUGGGGGGAACCCUGAUGCAGCGACGCCGCGUGGGUGAAGGAGCGUUUCGGCGCGUAAAGCCCUAUCGGCAGGGAAGAAGGAGGACGGUACCUGACUAAGAAGCCCCGGCUAACUACGUGCCAGCAGCCGCGGUAAUACGUAGGGGGCAAGCGUUAUCCGGAUUUACUGGGUGUAAAGGGGGCGCAGACGGCAGCGCAAGCCAGGAGUGAAAGCCCGGGGCCCAACCCCGGGACUGCUCUUGGAACUGCGCGGCUGGAGUGCAGGAGGGGCAGGCGGAAUUCCUGGUGUAGCGGUGAAAUGCGUAGAUAUCAGGAGGAACACCGGUGGCGAAGGCGGCCUGCUGGACUGCGACUGACGUUGAGGCCCGAAAGCGUGGGGAGCAAACAGGAUUAGAUACCCUUGUAGU